UUUGUUGGGCCACAGAGUGGCCAUUGUGAGCUGCUCAAAUAGCUUACUGCUCCUCUCUACCCUUCCCAGUGCCCUCAGGCUGACUUCUGUCUGAGGCCCCCAGUCACCCACAUAUUAGAUUUCUCCACUGCAGAUCAAAGGGAGGGUUUAAGAUGUGAGCUCGCAGCUUCCAUUCUGAGCCACCAUACUUGCCGCUGUCCUAAUUCUCCACUGAGAUGGUGAUGGAUUCUAAAGCCUCCAGAAACCUAAGCCCAAAAUAAACCCUUUCUUCUGUAAGGAA